rnacentral:miRNA from 1 species
UGUGGGAGAGGUAGUUCAGGAACAUGGUUUCGGGACAGCAGGUGCUGGCUUGUCUGACUUCCACGUCGCCCCUGUAG